GAUGAACGCUGGCGGCGUGCCUAAUACAUGCAAGUCGAGCGAACGGACGAGAAGCUUGCUUCUCUGAUGUUAGCGGCGGACGGGUGAGUAACACGUGGAUAACCUACCUAUAAGACUGGGAUAACUUCGGGAAACCGGAGCUAAUACCGGAUAAUAUUUUGAACCGCAUGGUUCAAAAGUGAAAGACAGUCUUGCUGUCACUUAUAGAUGGAUCCGCGCUGCAUUAGCUAGUUGGUAAGGUAACGGCUUACCAAGGCAACGAUGCGUAGCCGACCUGAGAGGGUGAUCGGCCACACUGGAACUGAGACACGGUCCAGACUCCUACGGGAGGCAGCAGUAGGGAAUCUUCCGCAAUGGGCGAAAGCCUGACGGAGCAACGCCGCGUGAGUGAUGAAGGUCUUCGGAUCGUAAAACUCUGUUAUUAGGGAAGAACAUAUGUGUAUGUAACUGUGCACAUCUUGACGGUACCUAAUCAGAAAGCCACGGCUAACUACGUG
rnacentral:rRNA from 1 species